CUGAUACUUAGUUCGUUGCCUUCAUUCUUAGUCAACCUGCGACUUGCUAUAGUCGUGAGUACUCAGUUGUGUUUGUUGCUAUCUUAGGCAGCUAGUGGUGAAGAUUAUUGAGUACCUGCAGAAUGAUGUCCAAAAUAUUAAAUGUAUUCCUCAUAUUGCCUCACUUAGUUCGUUCGUCUGACCCGGUACCGUUGGAUCUGGAUCCGAUCACUCUAGAUUCGUACAGUUGUGACAAUCAUUGCAACUCCUUGUGGGGCAGGGUGCCCCUGUUCAACAUCCCAUGGACACGCGGGAGACGCGUCCGAGACGAUUGUGUCUGCGGUUUCAACGGCAUAGGCUUGGAUCAAUUUAUGACCUACCAAUGCGUUCAGCAAUCUGUUUGGAAUCCGUUCAGGAGCAAGCGAAAAUUAGCCGCAAAAGGAAUUAAGGUACCCAAUGCACAAUCAAAUAUUUCCAACCCCUGGUGCUUAAUAACCUAGACUUCAGAUGCAUUAAUUCCCAAGUAGCAUUUUUCAAUGUAAAAUUUGCAACAAGUUGAAACAAUGUUGGUAUUAAUUGCAACAAAGUUGCAACUUUCGGUCAACUUUUGGUCGAUAAGUGCCGAUUUUUGGCGAUCUGAUCGGAAGACACAGUUGCGACCUGCUGAGAUUGCAAAAUUGCUGAACCAAAGUAGUUUAAAAUCUAAAGAUAGGCAACCAGCAAUACUUUGAAGUUGAAACAUGUU
rnacentral:lncRNA from 1 species